UACGUAGGGGGCAAGCGUUGUCCGGAUUUAUUGGGCGUAAAGAGCGUGUAGGCGGCCACACAGGUCAGCUGUGAAAACUCGAGGCUCAACCUCGAGACGUCGGUUGAAACCGUAUGGCUAGAGUCCGGAAGAGGAGAGUGGAAUUCCCGGUGUAGCGGUGAAAUGCGCAGAUAUCGGGAAGAACACCCGUGGCGAAGGCGGCUCACUGGACCAUAACUGACGCUGA
rnacentral:rRNA from 1 species